GGAUAUGAGGGUGAUCUGGCUGAGUCAGCUGAUCAGGCUGGCUAGACAGGUGUCCCCGUCUUCCCUCACCGCUCCAUGUCCAUCCCUCCUGAAACUGAACACUUGGUCAAAAGGAUAACCGCUCCAGAUAGAGGAGGACAGUUUCCUUGGUCAAGAGUAUGUGAGUAGCUAUGGUCCACUGCUAGUGUUUCUAAACAAGCUCUCUAACAAAAUGUGGAAUGAAGGGCCCGGGAUUUAGCUCAGUGGUUCCACUGCCUGCCUUGCAAGCGCAAGGACCAGAGU
ensembl:misc_RNA 7SK 7SK RNA